GUUAAGCUACAUGUAGAAGAUUACAAGUCGGAACGCUUCUUUUUCCACCGGGAACUUGCUCCACCGGAAAAAGAGGAGUGGCGAACGGGUGAGUAACACGUGGGUAACCUGCCCAUCAGAAGGGGAUAACACUUGGAAACAGGUGCUAAUACCGUAUAACAAUCGAAACCGCAUGGUUUUGAUUUGAAAGGCGCUUUCGGGUGUCGCUGAUGGAUGGACCCGCGGUGCAUUAGCUAGUUGGUGAGGUAACGGCUCACCAAGGCGACGAUGCAUAGCCGACCUGAGAGGGUGAUCGGCCACAUUGGGACUGAGACACGGCCCAAACUCCUACGGGAGGCAGCAGUAGGGAAUCUUCGGCAAUGGACGAAAGUCUGACCGAGCAACGCCGCGUGAGUGAAGAAGGUUUUCGGAUCGUAAAACUCUGUUGUUAGAGAAGAACAAGGAUGAGRRKWACUGUUCAUCCCUUGACGGUAUCUAACCAGAAAGCCACGGCUAACUACGUGCCAGCAGCCGCGGUAAUACGUAGGUGGCAAGCGUUGUCCGGAUUUAUUGGGCGUAAAGCGAGCGCAGGCGGUUUCUUAAGUCUGAUGUGAAAGCCCCCGGCUCAACCGGGGAGGGUCAUUGGAAACUGGGAGACUUGAGUGCAGAAGAGGAGAGUGGAAUUCCAUGUGUAGCGGUGAAAUGCGUAGAUAUAUGGAGGAACACCAGUGGCGAAGGCGGCUCUCUGGUCUGUAACUGACGCUGAGGCUCGAAAGCGUGGGGGAGCAAACAGGAUUAGAUACCCUGGUAGUCCACGCCGUAAACGAUGAGUGCUAAGUGUUGGAGGGUUUCCGCCCUUCAGUGCUGCAGCUAACGCAUUAAGCACUCCGCCUGGGGAGUACGACCGCAAGGUUGAAACUCAAAGGAAUUGACGGGGGCCCGCACAAGCGKKGRAGCAUGUGGUUUAAUUCGAAGCAACGCGAAGAACCUUACCAGGUCUUGACAUCCUUUGACCACUCUAGAGAUAGAGCUUCCCCUUCGGGGGCAAAGUGACAGGUGGUGCAUGGUUGUCGUCAGCUCGUGUCGUGAGAUGUUGGGUUAAGUCCCGCAACGAGCGCAACCCUUAUUGUUAGUUGCCAUCAUUUAGUUGGGCACUCUAGCAAGACUGCCGGUGACAAACCGGAGGAAGGUGGGGAUGACGUCAAAUCAUCAUGCCCCUUAUGACCUGGGCUACACACGUGCUACAAUGGGAAGUACAACGAGUCGCAAAGUCGCGAGGCUAAGCUAAUCUCUUAAAGCUUCUCUCAGUUCGGAUUGUAGGCUGCAACUCGCCUACAUGAAGCCGGAAUCGCUAGUAAUCGCGGAUCAGCACGCCGCGGUGAAUACGUUCCCGGGCCUUGUACACACCGCCCGUCACACCACGAGAGUUUGUAACACCCGAAGUCGGUGAGGUAACCUUUGGAGCCAGGUCGCCUAGUAGAGUGAACUC
rnacentral:rRNA from 1 species